AGUAGACUCAGACGGCCAGACCGCGCAGAGCAUGAACCUCCAGUCGAGCCAAUGCUCAGGAGCAGUGGUGUCGACGGCCAUGGCUGAUGAUGGCAUUGCUGCAGUGAUGAGGCGUUCUGCAGCCAGAUUCAUAAUACAGGAUAUUACUACUCAAACCAUGCAUGUUCUUCUACUGCAAAUUAGAUUCUUGCGCCAAGAUAAAGAGAGGAAUUAUUCUUGCCGACGAAGGGAGAAAUGAUCAGUACUACGAUUCCUAUCAUUUCGAGACACACAAAAGAAAAAGAAAAUCGACGCUAGCCAGAUGCUAUAUAUCCUGAUACCCUGCAACCUGGAGCCCCACGCAUGCAGAUGGUAAAGAUGCAAAUCUUUAUUCCAUUUCCAUGAUUCCAUCCACACAAAAAAGAAACGAACAAUACAGAGAAGAACACCAAGAAACACGCAUCGGCGCAGAGGAGGGUGGAAAACGAACCCAAUCUCAAUGGUGAUUGGGUUCUUGUUUCUUGACUUCUCCACCUUUUCCUGCCGCCGCCUCUCUCUCUCCGUCGAUUCCUCUCCCUCUCACGACCUCGACGCCUUCAUCGGUGGCACACGCACAUCACGGCGACAAGAACGUAGGAGAGAAAAUCAUAAAUGCCGGACAGGAACACGGAGGAGGAAUCAAUCAAUCACUCACUCACUCACUUCUGAUUUGGGCUUGAGAGAGAGAGAGAGAGAUCUCCAGAGUCAAGCCGCACGUUGGCUCCUGCUCUCUCCGGAAACCACGUGAAUGAAUCCCCUCCUCUUCCUCCUCUCUCUCCUCCACCUCACUCACUCUCAACCACAAGGAACGAACAAACCGAAAAGAAGCCAACCAACCAACCACGUACGUGCUGUCGUGCUGCAGCGCCGCUGGGUCGGGCGACCACGGCCGGUAGUUCUCCGCGAGCGCCCGGCACCCCACCGCCGCGUCCCACCGCGCGUACGCGUCGCCGGCGCCGCUGACAGGGCCGACGCGUUCGCCGGCGAGCGCGCCCACGUCGGCCGAGCGGGACGAGGAGGCGGAGAAAGCGGAGAAGCCGUCGCGCUCGCACGCUGCCUCCGCCGGCGGCCGUCACGGCGCUGCCCUCCCGUCUCGCCCCGGUUAGCUUGCAGAGAAGUGAGAGAGAGGAGGGGAAAAAGAGAGGGUGACGUGGACACCUGACAUGUGGGGACUAUGUGGGUCCCACGAGGACUAAGCCGCCAACCUUCAGCCAUCUUGUAGUGCGUGACUCAACCGCUCAUCGCACCUCGGCUCACUGCUCAAUGACCAAGCGGGAGAUUAGGCUCUCUCUGCUCUAUCCUAUUUUCUUAGCCAAGUGCAGUUGCGUUAAGUAGCACGCCCCCCCUUUCUACUCUACCUUGACUAUUGAAUUGAAUUCAAACUUUAAUUGCCCUGCUUCAUUCUCGCCAUAUUGAGAUUCUAUGGAAGAAAUGAAACGUUACCCGCCUACUUAUACUUCUUAUAGCAAGCAUCCUCUUAGCCAAGAAGUCCUAGAAGUGAAGCCCCUUUCAAGCUUUAGUCUUCCUCAAGUGCUCCCACUAACUAAGCAUGCCAAACUUCUCCUAGCGUGCAUUUCCUGCAUCAUUGGCUUAGUGACCGGACCAAAACCAGGGUCAAAACCACCAAAGACAUUGGGUGACC
rnacentral:lncRNA from 1 species